AGAACUAGAUAUUUUUAAUUAAUUGUGUAGCUCUCUCUUAGAUCUCAAUUACACACACACACAUGGGAACAUAAUUUGGUUUUUUGCAUGAGUGCUAGGGGUUGGUAGGGCAGGUUAUUCCAUUAUUUGAUGAAAUAAGAAAAUAUUGAUGUAUUGAAAGGGCCGAAUGAUCGCACUUGUUUUUUGAUGCUCUUUCAUCGGCAUUUUACUGCGUCAAACCAUAUUUUUACUCAAGGCACCCUGCAAGAACUUAAGGGGCGCUUGUUCUUCUCUUCCCACUUCCUCCCUCCCUCCGCCCUGUUCUUGCCUCUUUUUCUCGUCCCACCUCCCAUCCCUGUUUCUCUCUCUCUCUCCAACAUGCUCGCCUCCCUCCCUGCUCUCACCAGUCUCUCCCCAUCUCCUGUCUCACAUCCCUCCCCGUUCUUGCUCUCUCUCUCUCUACCCACCUCCUGCUUUCCUCCCUUCCUGUUCAUGCUUCCCAGUCUCCCUACCUCCUACUUGCCUCAUUCCCUAUUUAUGACUUCCCCUUCGUUCGCCUUUUUCAUGCCUCUCUGUCCGCACCUCCCGCUUGCUUCCCUCCUUCUUCUCAUCCCUCUCUCUCCCCAUCUCUCAUCAUGUUUGAUCUCUCCCCAUUCUCACGUCUCAUAGAAGAGGGCUAAUCAUCUCUUUUUGCUUUUGGGCUGCACUCAGGGAGGACAAAGGGGGUCUGAUUUAAGGCCGAUUAUUUUUGUCAUUGAAUAAGUCGCUGCCCAAUGGUGAUUAGUCACUCUCAGGAUUCCUACUCAAUUGAUGCAUCUCCCAAUUUUCAGCUUUGGCACCUCAACGUCGAAGCAAAAAUUGCUGCUCACGUGCAUUGAGCACCUUGAAGCUCCAUGCAAGAGGAAAAAUAAAGCUCAAAUUGAAUACUCAUAGUCAGCCUCAAUAGGUGUGGAUGCCCAAAAGUUAAGUACAUAUAUUGGGACACUAGCUCACAAUGUAGAACAAACACCUCGACAUUACUUCACAUGGUCAGAAUUACCAGAUUUAUACAAGGAGGAUAUAUGGAGACUUAUUCAAGAAAAAAUAACCGAAGCCUUGGCGAAAUUACAUGAAGGUUCAAAGGAUAUUCAAUAUCUCAAACUUCACAUUCUAUUCUAGGCAUAGACGCAAGCCUCUUUGGGCUGAAGAGGGGUUGACAAGCAAGAGAAUGGGGGCUAAAAGUUGAUGGCGAUGCUUCAUUGAGCGCCUUCAAAGCACACUUUCUGGUCCUGAAAAGAAUACACUUCAGAAACCACGAAAGCUAACCAAAGACAAACUUCUUUGAGCAUAGAAACAAAAGGAAAAGAAAAUUUGAAAGAAAUUAAGAGAAGCCAGGAGGAAGCAGGAGCAGGAAGUCAAGCACCACCUCUCUCUUUCAGCAGGAAAAGGAAGAAAUAGAAAGGAGGAGCCAACAAGGUCAUAUGUAGGAGCAACAGGCUCAUGCUUUUUGAAAGACACAUUUUGACUCGAACAAAUGGAUGGUGGAUCUCUUUCAACUAUUGAUAUCUUCAACAAGGUACACCAAACUACUAAUUAUAUUGUUUGUGGGAUUUGAUUAUUGUUUGAGGAGCUUACAACACAUGAUAACUUACAUGAUAUUAUAGUCGUAUUUAUGAAGCUGCAAAGCUUAUGGCAUGUCUUUUUGCUUGUAAAGUACAUGAAUGGAGGAAGUGAUCUUAUCUAUAUGUAUGUUGCAACUCAUCUGCAGCAUAUUUACCUCAGAAUAAUCAUGUUUUUGGGUAUAGAUGAUUUGUUGCUUGAGUUUGCAUUGCUCAUCCACAUUAUUAGCUGUUGUUGGAAUUGACAAUUCUAAAAAAUUUAGUGUUGACAUGUGAGUUUGUGAUGAACAACAAUUAUCAAAGGAUACAUUAUUGUCAAAUUUAUGGGCUCUAUAUUAGGCGCUAAUAGAAGGUACUAGACUUGUGCUUAAAUUUUAGUACUCGUUUGAUGUUUCUGGACGUUCGAAUAAAGUUGUUUGAAGCACAGCAUGAAUAGGUAUCUCUAAUUUCAUGGCCAUUAGAGAAUCAUAUUUCCGUAUUUUAUUCUCAUUGUGGAGCAUAAACUCCAUUAUGUUGGAAGAGCACGACUCAAACUGCAUCUAUACUUUUUCUUAUUCAAGUGGCUUAUCUUGUGAAGCAAAACUAUUUUUACUGUCUUAGAAUUUGAUAAUUCCGUCAUAGAUACUGGAAUUGUUUGACAAUGUGUGCAAGUUUUUCUGAUGGGCUUGGUUAUUUAUGAAUUUUGGGACCGUGGAGAAGGCAUAAAAGGAAGCCAGCAAAAUUCAGCACAAGGCUUAGGUUUUUUUAUUUUGUAUGUUUAUAUUCAAAAUUGUAUCAAAUAUUUAUUAAGUUAUUAAAAGAAAGAUUAUAUAUAUAGAACAUAA